CCUACGGGUGGCAGCAGUGGGGAAUAUUGCACAAUGGGGGAAACCCUGAUGCAGCGACGCCGCGUGAGUGAAGAAGGAUUUCGGGAUGUAAAGCUCUAUCAGCAGGGAAGAAAAUGACGGUACCUGAUUAAGAAGCCGCGGCUAAAUACGUGCAAGCAGCCGCGGUAAUACGGAGGGGGCAAGCGUUAUCCGGAUUUACUGGGUGUAAAGGGAGCGUAGACGGCAGCAGAAGUCUGGAGUGAAAUGCCGGGGCUUAACCCCGGAACUGCUUUGGAAACUGUGCAGCUAGAGUGCAGGAGAGGUAAGUGGAAUUCCUGGUGUAGCGGUGAAAUGCGUAGAUAUUAGGAAGAACACCAGUGGCGAAGGCGGCUUACUGGACUGUAACGGACGUUGAGGCACGAAAGCGUGGGGAGCGAACAGGAUUAGAUACCCGGGUAGUC
rnacentral:rRNA from 1 species